AUAUAUACACUGGCACUGAUACUUGCUUUACUCUACACACACACACCGAUACUGACACUUGCUUCUCUCUCUCUCUCUCUUUCUCUUAUAUAUAUAUAUAUAUUGUAGACAUCACAUCUUUAGAGCAGCUCUAGCGUAUGCUAGAGCCCGAUGGACCGGCAAUUAAAUAGGGCCAAAUCGUCCCAGCAAGCAAGUCCAACGGAUGUUGGCGAUUGAGCCCGAAGGGCCCGAGGGAGAGGCUCGGCACGAGUAGCUAGCCCAAGAGCCCAAUGGUCAGGUGACGUCUCUAUGGAUCUCUGGUUGUUGGCGUUCAUCUUCCUCCUCAAGAGCAUGAGAGAUGGCAGCAACAUCAGCAGCUCCAUCGGAACCAAUUGUUCCCUCGGCCACAAGGCGGCGUCGUUUCAACAGACAAAGCCUUGUGCUUUGAGGUUCAGUUUUGUGCAGAUUUACAUCAGUACUUUCAGUUUUAUGGAAUAAAGUCGAUAUCCUUUCAGUGAUCUAUGUUGAAGCGAUUUUCUAAAGAAAUUAUUUUGUAAAAUAAAAAAUACUAAUAUUUUAUUA